AAAAAUUUCAAUUCCAGAAGAUUAGGAGAAUCCGGCGGACGGCGGACGGCGGAGGAAAGCAAACAGCAAGAAGCAUCGACUCCAUAGAGAGAGCGAGAGUGAUAGAGGUUUCGUAUAUUUGAAUAAUGGAGAAGGGAGGUUUCAUGCCUCGAUAGGAAAGGAGAAGGAUGAGGGGUAGGUGAAGGUAUAAAAACUGUGGAGUAAGUGUGAGGGAAGCAGAGGAAGAAGAAAG
rnacentral:lncRNA from 1 species